CUUGACAAACAUAAAAGUAUUAGAAUGGGCUGAUAUGAUGAGCCAACCUUAACAAAAUCUCGGGUACAAGACGUUCUCUCGGAGGCACCAAGGCAUCCUUGGCAAGAGCUUCCUCAUCAACGGCAUGUAUCACAGAAACCAUAUGAUCAAAUAGAUCAUCCAUUCCACCUCUUAACGGAUCCUG